rnacentral:rRNA from 1 species
UACGUAGGCAGCAAGCGUUGUUCGGAGUUACUGGGCGUAAAGGGUGUGUAGGCGGUCCCCUAAGUUUGGUGUGAAAUCUCCCGGCUCAACUGGGAGGGUGCGCCGAAAACUGGAGGGCUAGAGUACUGGAUGGGAGAGUGGAAUUCCUGGUGUAGCGGUGAAAUGCGUAGAUAUCAGGAGGAACACCUGUGGUGUAGACGGCUCUCUGGACAGUAACUGACGCUGAGACACGAAGGCGUGGGUAGCAAACAGG